GGCAGGUAUUGCCUCGAACUAAGAAGUUUUUGUGGAGGCUCUUGUAUGAUCUUUUGCCUCCCGUAAGUGUGUUGGCAUUCCAUUUUUGUGCAACAGAUGUAAGGGAGCUAAAGAAUCUAUUUUGCAUGUGUUUACUAAAGACUGCUAGUGGACAAAUUGAUUUGGUUAAUACCUCCUUUGAGUUUGCACACUGAGGAAGUGAUGGUAAACUCUCAUGUUGAGUGGUUCACCUAUCCAUAUAGGAGUCUCAGGGCGACAGAUUUGGUCUUAGCCAUGGAACUAAUAUAUAUGGAGUUUGUGGAGGUCGCGCAAUGCAGUAUCUGAAAGAUGAUCCUGCUCUUGUUAUUAGGUAUGCUUGGUAGACAGGAACACUGUUCUCAGUGAGUCACAUAUUAUACAUACUGAUCCUAUUCUAAAGUGGUUCCUCCCUCGAUCUUAUACUUUUUAUAAGAUUAAUGUUAACGUUGCUAUUUUUAAGAGGUCAAGAAAGACAGAUUUGGAUAUUGUGGUCGGAAGAAGCCUGAGGUGAAAGAAGUCUGUUGAACUUGAUUGCUGAAUUUGUCAUUUGUUUGCUA
rnacentral:misc_RNA from 1 species